rnacentral:rRNA from 1 species
AUUGAACGCUGGCGGCAGGCCUAACACAUGCAAGUCGAACGGUAGCACAGAGAGCUUGCUCUCGGGUGACGAGUGGCGGACGGGUGAGUAAUGUCUGGGAAACUGCCCGAUGGAGGGGGAUAACUACUGGAAACGGUAGCUAAUACCGCAUAACGUCGCAAGACCAAAGUGGGGGACCUUCGGGCCUCACACCAUCGGAUGUGCCCAGAUGGGAUUAGCUAUUAGGUGGGGUAAUGGCUCACCUAGGCGACGAUCCCUAGCUGGUCUGAGAGGAUGACCAGCAACACUGGAACUGAAACACGAUCCAGACUCCUACGGAGGGCAGCAGUGGGGAAUAUUGCACAAUGGGCGCAAGCCUGAUGCAGCCAUGCCGCGUGUAUGAAGAAGGCCUUCGGGUUGUAAAGUACUUUCAGCGGGGAGGAAGGCGGUGAAGUUAAUAGCUUCACCGAUUGACGUUACCCGCAGAAGAAGCACCGGCUAACUCCGUGCCAGCCGCCGCCGUAAGAC